rnacentral:rRNA from 1 species
GACGAACGCUGGCGGCGUGCCUAAUACAUGCAAGUCGAGCGAAGCGGCGAUUGGGUGAGUAACGCGUGGGUAACCUGCCCUUAAGUCUGAGAUACCAUUUGGUAACAGAUGCUAAUACCGGAUACUAAAGGAUGGCCCUGCGUGGCAUUUGCCCGUUGGUAAGGUAACGGCUUACCAAGGCGAUGAUGCAUAGCCGAGUUGAGAGAGUGAUCGGCCACAUUGGGACUGAGACACGGCCCAAACUCCUACGGGAGGCAGCAGUAGGGAAUCUUCCACAAUGGACGAAAGUCUGAUGGAGCAACGCCGCGUGAGUGAAGAAGGUUUUCGGAUCGUAAAGCUCUGUUGUUGGUGAAGCGGUAAUCAACCAGAAAGUCACGGCUAACUACGUGCCAGCAGCCGCGGUAAUAC